AGAGUUUGAUCCUGGCUCAGAUUGAACGCUGGCGGCAUGCCUUACACAUGCAAGUCGAACGGUAACAGCACUUCGGUGGCUGACGAGUGGCGAACGGGUGAGUAAUACAUCGGAACGUGCCCGAGAGUGGGGGAUAACGCAGCGAAAGCUGUGCUAAUACCGCAUACGAUCUACGGAUGAAAGCAGGGGACCGCAAGGCCUUGCGCUCAUGGAGCGGCCGAUGGCAGAUUAGGUAGUUGGUGGGAUAAAAGCUUACCAAGCCGACGAUCUGUAGCUGGUCUGAGAGGACGACCAGCCACACUGGGACUGAGACACGGCCCAGACUCCUACGGGAGGCAGCAGUGGGGAAUUUUGGACAAUGGGCGAAAGCCUGAUCCAGCCAUGCCGCGUGCAGGAUGAAGGCCUUCGGGUUGU
rnacentral:rRNA from 1 species